CCUACGGGUGGCAGCAGUGAGGACUAUUGGUCAAUGGACGAGAGUCUGAACCAGCCAAGUAGCGUGAAGGAUGACUGCCCUAUGGGUUGUAAACUUCUUUUAUAUGGGAAUAAAAUGUUCCACGUGUGGGAUUUUGUAUGUACCAUAAGAAUAAGGAUCGGCUAACUACGUGCCAGCAGCAGCGGUAAUACGGAGUAACUGAGCGUUAUCCGGAUUUAUUGGGUUUACAGGGAGCGUAGGUGGAUUGUGAAGUCAGUUGUGAAAGUUUGCGGCUCAACCGUAAAAUUGCAGUUGAAACUGGCAGUCGUGAGUACAGGAGAGGUGAGCGGAAUUCGUGGUGUAGCGGUGAAAUGCUUAGAUAUCACGAAGAACUCCGAUGGCGAAGGCAGUUCACUGGACUGCAACUGACACUGAGGCUCGAAAGUGUGGGUAUCAAACAGGAUUAGAUACCCUUGUAGUC
rnacentral:rRNA from 1 species